rnacentral:rRNA from 1 species
CCCUUAGAUGUCCGGGGCCGCACGCGCGCUACACUGAAGGAAUCAGCGUGGCUUUCUCCCUGACCCGAAAGGGUUGGGAAACCCGUUGAAUCUCCUUCGUGAUAGGGAUUGGGGCUUGAAAUUGUUCCCCAUGAACGAGGAAUUCCCAGUAAGCGCGAGUCAUAAGCUCGCGUUGAUUACGUCCCUGCCCUUUGUACACACCGCCCGACGCUACUACCGAUUGAACGGUUUAGUGAGGGCCUCGGAUUGGUCUCGGCCCGCUCUUUACCGGGCGGCGCCGUUGGUCGAGAAGACGCUCGAACUUGAUCGUUUAGAGGAAGUAAAAGUCGUAACA